rnacentral:lncRNA from 1 species
GACACCAGCUCGGAGUAUUAGUGCCUUUUGCUGCACUUUUCAUCGAUGGCAUUGUCUGAGGGUGAUGUUUCCCAUGCCAACUGGCUGCAUGCUUUUAAAUCUGUCAGCAACUUGGUACCAUCACUCCUUUUUACCCAUAUGUUAGGGCAUCGGAGAGACUCAGACUCGAGAAAAAACUUUUCACAUCAUGUAAAAUUGGUUAAUUAUAUACACCCAUGUUUACGUUCGAGGAAUUGACUCGUUUUCGCUAUGCCUUCAGUGGAUUCUUUUUGCUGUCGCCAUCAGAUCCCUGGCUUAACCCAAUGUUUGUGAGCUUACGGUCCAUAUUCUUAAGCUGUAGAAAAAUUUAUGUGAAAUUCUUUAAUAUUAGCCGAGCUCAAAAUAUUAUUUAGCGCAUCUCGACUUAAUUUUCUAGCUCCGCCCCUAACGAAGAUGGUAAAGAGCAGUAGUUAUAAAUAGCCUUUUACAGUGUGAAAAUAGAAAAGUAAAUUUACAGACAGGGGAGAUAUAGAGAAUGAUCCCGUCAAAGGAUCAGAGGGCCUCACACCUCAUAAGCUUGCAAAAAUCUUGCAUGUACUGUCAUAUAAAAGACUAGUGCUCCUCUUUGUCUUUGGUCCACGAAGUUCUGUACAACCAUGUAAAUAAAUUCAUGACUGUACAUGUUACAACCCAAUUUUUUUCUGUAAAAAAUCAAAGGUUGACUCAUCAAAGUCAUUUUAUUGGGACUUGAAUUGACCAAAUUAUUUUAUUGGGAUUAUUUUAUGAUAAAAAAUAUUUUGAGAGCUUAAGAUGGAUAAAAAUUUAAAGUUACUUAUUUGAUAAGUUGAUUAUUUUUUAGGUGGUUUUAAGCUAUGUUUUGAAGAAAACUCUGUCAAAAUUCUUUUAAAAAUUCUUCACAAUCAAAGUAGGUCAAAGUUGCAUUGGUGGUCCGACAAUUAGCUGAUAUUUGCCAUCUAUAAUGAAUAAUUUGAGUUUUGAGAGGAUUGUGCACCCUAUUUUAAAUUAUAUGUAUAGAUUUGAGAAAGUUGAUUAUUGUUCAGGUGAUUUUAGGCUAUAUUUUAGAGGAAACUCUAUCAAAAUUCUUUUAAAAAAUCGUCAAAGUAGGUUAAAGUUGUCUUGGUGAUGGGUCCGGCACUUAACUGCUAUCUACCAUAGACGUACAACACGUGUCGAGUCCAUUAGGAUGAUUCCAGACGGGUCGUGUCAGUACAGAGGAAAAUCAUGAAAAAAUAAAUAAAUAAACUAAAUGCAAACACAACAUUGUUAACUAUAAACUAUUUUUACUCACAUUCUCUGAGGAUUUAUAUAAUGAAGAUCAAUAUAAGACGUUGAAAAUAUGUUGAUUUUCAGUUGCUGGCAGUGUCUUAUUUAAACAUGAAAUUAAAUAGGAAUUGUCUAACAUUUCAUUCGAUAUAAUCAUCAUAGAUUUUGAGACAAGUGCAGCAAAGAAUAGUCGGAGCCAUAUUGAAGUAUAUCUUUUUCCUCGAUUAAUUUCAAGGCGUGUUUGGUAUGUUAGAUUGCACAUGACAAUCUGUGAUCAAGGUAGAAAGAAAAAAGGAAAUUUACGAGUCAAAUGGUCUAGAUAUUUUUUUUAAAAAAAAAAAACAUAAGGGUAGCAAAUCCUUAUAUUAAAGCAACGUGGGGAAAGGGAUUUCUUUUAUCUAUACAGAAAGGGAAAAAAUAAUCAAAAAGGUUUAUUUGGAAUGUAAAUAGUAGCAAGUUAUACAGAUAAUUAACAAACCACUGCUUCCCCCCGCGAGGGGGGGGGGGGGGGGGGGUGUUUGUGCGCUGCCUAUACUUUAAAAAAAAUAAAAAAAUAAAAAUAAAAAAGGUUGAAUCUCAAUCUUGAGGGCUCCCACCGCCCCGUCUCUAGAGCUUUGUGAGAGAGGUAAAUCGCGGGAGGUGCCCCAACAGGUCAGAGAACAAGAGCUGUCUGUACACUGCGCCUAGAAUAAAUUUAAUUCCAUGUCUCAGGAAUCGAACUCCCACACUGUGGCUGCAAGCAAGGAGUCAAGACUAGAGUGCAAUAUUCUCUACAUUAGCUUCGAGAUUUCGAUUUUGGAUGGAAAAUCUGUAAGAAGGAUAGAAUUUGGAUGGACAACACAUAAAGCAGAAGAGAGAACUACUGGUAAGGACUCGAAUGAUCAAAUGGCACCUCAAUAACUACAACAACAUGAACCAAGCUUUGUUCAUGAUAGAUUCCGGGUUGAACACAAAAAUCCUUUUAAGUCCUGUUUUUCCAUCAAAAUACAUUUUUCAAUAGUUAGUUGACCCCGCUUCAACCACACAUUCUUCAAUAAAAUAAUAUUAUAGUCAAAUUCAUAACUUUUUAUUUUUAUUUUUUAACCACACAUUAUCCAUCGAUACACUAUUCAAAAAUGUAUUUUUUGACAAAAACGAGGCUCAAACAAGGGCUAAAUUUUUUUCCAUGGAAAUCAGAAAUAUUAAAUGGCUGACUUAGCAAAUGUUAAUUUCAUUGUACCUCAUCUACAUUAAUAUCAUUGGCCAUCCACAUAAAAUGGUGAUCAAAUCUAGGCAAAGUCAUUCAAUUCCUCCAAAGUAAGCUUUUGAAGCACAAAAUUCACUUGGAUUACAAGCCUUUCUAUUGCAUCAGGCCAAGUUAUGUCAUCGGCUCAUAUAUAGCACCCCUUUACACAUCCAAGACUAUGAAGACCAUCGAUCUCUAUUCAAACACGCAUAAAAAUAAAAGAUUGUUCCCACACACGUGCAUCUAACAAUCUCUAUUUAAUUGAAUUAUUCAAAUUAUCAACAUAAUCAAUUGCAUAGGUCGAGGGAAAACCAAGCUACUUCGACAAACUUGUGAGGAUAUUACCAUUAAGUGGUGGCUAUGUUCGGAGAGAGAGUACAUAUCAAUAGGUCAAGUUGCUUAGAUGUUUCUCAAGAAGGUCCACCUAAAGGACUGAUUGUGAUCAAAUGUUAAAACCAAUAAACCUAACCAUGGAGUCACGUUACUAUCAGGUUUAGUUCUACCACAAUUUGCACUGAGAAGUUCCAAGAUAUGUUGCAAUUUUUAAAGAAAACUAUGACUUGAACAGACAAAAAAUCCACUUAUAACUAAGAAUGUCCAUAAAAUAAUCAUUUAUAUCUUGAAUCUCCUCUAUAAAAGACAAACAAAAACACAUAACCAAACUUCUAUGUAAUAUUGAUUUAAUACAUUAAUUAUAUUCUAUAAGCAAAUACAACAUUAAUAAACUUUCUUUUCUUUACCUUUUUUUAUUGAUUGGCUGUCGCAGCAAAUUCUUGUCCAAAGCUGACCAUUCAAUUUGCAUAUGCAUUAAUUUCUGAAAACAGUCACAAACAAGGUCUGAUAAGCAUAUAAAUCAGGUGAAUGUUAUAUGUAAAAAAUAAAUAAGCAAAAAUGAAUCCAACAAUUUCCACUUUAUGGUAAUUAUUCUCUCUCCCAAGUUCUGGACCCUUGAUUACAUUUACAUCCCA